AUGGAUGCCCAGGAGGUUCGGCUCCUCCUCGACGUCCUCCUCGCACUCCUCCUCACGCUCUUCUUCCCACUCCUCCGGCUCUCCGGCGCUUCUCGGCGUCAAGGCCGAGCCCGCGGCGGAGAUGCCGCUAGGCCGGAGCACUCACAGCGCCGGCAUCGUCAUCAACGAGGGCGGCCAGCGCGCCUCCUCCGCGCUUCGUUAAGCCAAAGACGGAGUCGGGGCUCGCGCCGGUGA
rnacentral:rRNA from 1 species